AAUGAACGCUGGCGGCAGGCCUAACACGUGCAAGUCGAACGGAUCCUUCGGGAUUAGUGGCGGACGGGUGAGUAACGCGUGGGAACAUACCCAAAGGUACGGAAUAGCCUCGGGAAACUGGGAGUAAUACCGUAUGUGCUCGAAAGAGGAAAGAUUUAUCGCCUUUGGAUUGGCCCGCGUUGGAUUAGGUAGUUGGUGGGGUAAUGGCCUACCAAGCCGACGAUCCAUAGCUGGUUUGAGAGGAUGAUCAGCCACACUGGGACUGAGACACGGCCCAGACCCCUACGGGAGGCAGCAGUGGGGAAUCUUAGACAAUGGGGGAAACCCUGAUCUAGCCAUGCCGCGUGAUCGAUGAAGGCCUUAGGGUUGUAAAGAUCUUUCAGGUGGGAAGAUAAUGACUGUACCACCAGAAGAAGCCCCGGCUAACUCCGUGCCAGCAGCCGCAGUAA
rnacentral:rRNA from 1 species